rnacentral:misc_RNA from 1 species
GAAAAUGUGUUGCCGGGGCCCAUAAUCCCGGCACUAACCUUCUUAUCCAUAACACCUGUGCACUGUUGGAUGCUUGCAUCCACUUUUAUACUAAACAAUUUGUAACAAAUGUAGUCUUAUUAUAAUUAAUAAAACUUUUAACAACGGAUCUCUUGGCUCU